AUUGAACGCUGGCGGCAGGCUUAACACAUGCAAGUCGAGCGGAGAUGAGGUGCUUGCACCUUAUCUUAGCGGCGGACGGGUGAGUAAUGCUUAGGAAUCUGCCUAUUAGUGGGGGACAACAUUCCGAAAGGAAUGCUAAUACCGCAUACGUCCUACGGGAGAAAGCAGGGGAUCUUCGGACCUUGCGCUAAUAGAUGAGCCUAAGUCGGAUUAGCUAGUUGGUGGGGUAAAGGCCUACCAAGGCGACGAUCUGUAGCGGGUCUGAGAGGAUGAUCCGCCACACUGGGACUGAGACACGGCCCAGAGUCCUACGGGAGGCAGUAGUGGGGAAUAUUGGACAAUGGGGGGAACCCUGAUCCAGCCAUGCCGCGUGUGUGAAGAAGGCCUUAUGGUUGUAAAGCACUUUAAGCGAGGAGGAGGCUACUGAGACUAAUACUCUUGGAUAGUGGACGUUACUCGCAGAAUAAGCACCGGCUAACUCUGUGCCAGCAGCCGCAGUAA
rnacentral:rRNA from 1 species